CCAGAUUUGACAGAACAUCUUGCUUGCGAAUGGCAGAAUUUCAUUGAUAUGUAAACAUUUAAAUUGGCCUGAGGGUGUGGGGGAAUUUUGCCAAAUCCGGAUCCUGAAAACCUCAGCAACUUGAUUAACUCUGGAGCUUUGCAGUCAUGUUUGCCAACAAGCAUUAUGCCAUCCAGAAUUUCACAACACACUGUAGCAAUACAGGGCGUGAUGAAUGCUCUCAUUUAUGCCAAGCUUAAUGUUUUUCAAAUAGUGUUCACACACAUGUGUCUGUUGUUCCUCAAGAAGGUGAUCUGGCUGGUGUCCUGCUUCCCAGUUUGAGGCUCGGAGGGAUAACGGAGUUGCCUGGUGUCACGCAGUGCCAACUCAAAAAGACAUCUCUGUCUCUUGGCUCCUGGUUAUAGCUGCUCCAGAGCCCAGCCUCAGUCUUUACAGACUCCGCUAUCCUCCCUAACUCAGCAGGACUCAGUGCUGGUCCCUGU